GCCCGGUUAGCUCAAUCGGUAGAGCGUGAGACUCUUAAUCUCAAGGUUGCGGGUUCGACCCCCGCAUUGGGCU
rfam:Ceratocystis platani strain CFO contig_00195, whole genome shotgun sequence.